CCUACGGGUGGCAGCAGUCGAGAAUCAUUCACAAUGGGGGAAACCCUGAUGGUGCGACGCCGCGUGGGGGAAUGAAGGUCUUCGGAUUGUAAACCCCUGUCAUGUGGGAGCAAAUUAAAAAGAUAGUACCACAAGAGGAAGAGACGGCUAACUCUGUGCCAGCAGCCGCGGUAAUACAGAGGUCUCAAGCGUUGUUCGGAAUCACUGGGCGUAAAGUGUGCGUAGGCUGUUUCGUAAGUCGUGUGUGAAAGGCGCGGGCUCAACCCGCGGACGGCACAUGAUACUGCGAGACUAGAGUAAUGGAGGGGGAACCGGAAUUCUCGGUGUAGCAGUGAAAUGCGUAGAUAUCGAGAGGAACACUCGUGGCGAAGGCGGGUGCCUGGACAUUAACUGACGCUGAGGCACGAAGGCCAGGGGAGCGAAAGGGAUUAGAUACCCCUGUAGUC
rnacentral:rRNA from 1 species